rnacentral:rRNA from 1 species
GUUGAACGCUGGCGGCAGGCCUAACACAUGCAAGUCGAACGAGUGGCGGACGGGUGAGUAAUGUCUGGGAAACUGCCUGAUGGAAGGGGAUAACUACUGGAAACGGUAGCUAAUACCCCAUCCCAUCAGAUGUGGCCCGAUGGGAUUAGCUUGUUGGUGGGGUAACGGCUCACCAGGGCGACGAUCCCUAGCUGGGCUGGGAGGAGGACCAGCCACACUGGAACUGAGACACGUUCCAUACUCCUACGGGAGGCAGCAGUGGGGAAUAUUGCACAAUGGGCGCAAGCCUGAUGCAGCCAUGCCGCGUGUAGGAAGAAGGCCUUCGGGUUGUAAAGUACGUUCAGCGGGGAGGCGUUACCCGCAGAAGAAGCACCGGCUAACUACGUACCAGCAGCCGCGGUAAUAC